rnacentral:lncRNA from 1 species
UCCUAGACUAAUACUAAUAGACUAAUAAGGACUCCUACACUAAGCCUGCUCCGGAAGGGUCAGGAGCGCCAAUGUCGAGGCAGGCGGGCGGCGCGGUCGGGAGGAGUUCAGGCACACGCGCCAUGGGGGGCUGAGACGGGAUCCAGGAAACGGGAUAAAAAAAAUUUGAAUCGUGAGGACGAGUUGCGGCGUCCGGAGACCUAAACCUAGGCUCUAAUACCAUGUUAGGAAAGCAACUUAUCUUUAUUGAAGGCCCAAGGGGCAUAUAUAUAUUACACAAGACUUGAGGUGCAAGGAAAGUAAACAUAGACUGAUAAGGACUCCUAGACU